rnacentral:rRNA from 1 species
AGAACGAACGCUGGCGGCAUGCCUAACACAUGCAAGUCGAACGCGUGUAGCGAUACACGAGUGGCGGACGGGUGAGUAACGCGUGGGAACCUGCCCUGGAGUGUGGGAUAACCGAGGGAAACUUCGGCUAAUACCGCAUACGACCUGAGGGUGAAAGAUUUAUCGCUCUAGGAGGGGCCCGCGUCGGAUUAGCUAGUUGGUGGGGUAAAGGCCUACCAAGGCAGUGAUCCGUAGCUGGUCUGAGAGGAUGAUCAGCCACACUGGGACUGAGACACGGCCCAGACUCCUACGGGAGGCAGCAGUGGGGAAUAUUGGACAAUGGGGGCAACCCUGAUCCAGCAAUGCCGCGUGAGUGAUGAAGGCCUUAGGGUUGUAAAGCUCUUUCGCGCGCGACGAUGAUGACGGUAGCGCGAGAAGAGCCCGCUACUCGUGCCAGCAGCCGC